CGAGGACGACGCUGGCGGCGUGCUUAACACAUGCAAGUCGAACGGAAAGGCCCUGCUUUGUGGGGUGCUCGAGUGGCGAACGGGUGAGUAACACGUGAGUAACCUGCCCUUGACUUUGGGAUAACUUCAGGGAAACUGGGGCUAAUACCGGAUAGGAGCUCCUGCUGCAUGGUGGGGGUUGGAAAGUUUCGGCGGUUGGGGAUGGACUCGCGGCUUAUCAGCUUGUUGGUGGGGUAGUGGCUUACCAAGGCUUUGACGGGUAGCCGGCCUGAGAGGGUGACCGGCCACAUUGGGACUGAGAUACGGCCCAGACUCCUACGGGAGGCAGCAGUGGGGAAUAUUGCACAAUGGGCGGAAGCCUGAUGCAGCAACGCCGCGUGCGGGAUGACGGCCUUCGGGUUGUAAACCGCUUUCGCCUGUGACGAAGCGUGAGUGACGGUAAUGGGUAAAGAAGCACCGGCUAACUACGUG
rnacentral:rRNA from 1 species